AACCUGCUACUACUACUACUUCCUUUACCUUCACUGCAAACUAUAAUCCACUUUGCUUUGUUUUAUUUCUUAUAAUCGUGAGAUCAUCAUGGCUGCAAGAUUUGUGGGGGAAGCUUUUCUCAACUCUGCACUUGGUACUAUUUAUGAGAUGCUGAUUUCACCUUUACUUGUCAACCUCAUCCAGAGAAAGAAGCUUAACCGGAAGCUGAUUGAGAAGUUGGAGACAGUUCUGAAAGCUGCUCAUGCUGCAAUCAAUGACGCUGAGCGGAGGCAGAUUGAAGAGGAAGCAGUGAAGGACUGGCUGGACAGGCUGAAGAAUGCUGUGUACGAUGCUGAAGAUGCACUUGAUGAAAUAACCACCAAAGCUGCCACUCAAAAGGAUCCAGGUAACUCCCUGUCUCGCUAUGUCAAUUUGCAUGAUGAUGGUGAGGUAGUAACCAAGAUAGAAGAUAUCAUUGCUGCUUUAGAGUCAAUUGUAAAAGAGAAAGAUAGUCUUGGCUUGAAAGAGAUACCAGUGGAGGACAUGUCAUGGAGAAUCCCAUCAACAUCUCUAAUUGAUGCGCGUGAAAUAUAUGGCAGGGACCAAGAUAGGGAGGUCAUAGUAAAAUUGUUGCUAGAUGAUACUAAUGAUGGUGAAAUAUUCGUGAUUCCUAUCGUCGGUAUGGGUGGAAUAGGAAAAACUACUUUGGCUCAGAUGGUUUACAAUGAUGACCAAGUGCAACAAAAAUUUAAUAUUAAGGCAUGGGUUUCUGAUGGGAAAGAAGAAUUUGACGUGCUUAAAGUGACAAAGACUGUGUUGGAGAAAGCAUCUUCUUGUUCUUGUAACUCUAAUGAGUUAAACAUAAUUCAGGAGAGUUUGAAGGAAAUCCUAGCAGGGAAGAAGUUAUUGGUUGUUUUGGACGACAUGUGGAGUAACAAUUAUGAUGCUUGGAUAAGUUUUCUAAAGCCUUUUAAAUCUAGUAAUGAGGGCGUUAAGAUUCUUGUAACAACCCGUCUUGAUUCGACUGCUGAUAUGGUGAAAACUAUUCCAACUUACAAUCUGAGUUUGUUGGGUGAUGAACACUGCUGGUCAGUGUUUGCAGAUCAUGCAUGUCUUAAUUCUGUUGAAUCCCAUAGCCGUUCUGCUUUAGAAGUAGUCGGUCGAAGAAUUGUCAAAAAGUGUAAUGGGUUAGCUUUGGCUGCUCAAACACUUGGAGGUUUAUUAAGAGCAAAAAAAGAAGUAGAGGAUUGGGAGUUUAUAUUGAAGAGUGAAAUUUGGGAACUUCCAGAAAAAAAUAGUGGGAUUCUUCCAGCAUUAAGAAUCAGUUAUCACUACCUCCCUUCGUACUUAAAACGUUGCUUUGUUUAUUGUUCUUUAUACCCAAAAGACCAUGAAUUCAAAAGAGAUGAAUUGGUGUUACUAUGGAUGGCAGAAGGUCUUUUGCAACAACCAAAGAGUGGAAGUACUUUAGAAGAAGUUGGUUAUAAAUAUUUUAAUGAUUUAGUUUCUAGAUCAUUUUUCCAACAUUCUAACAAUUUCAGAAAUUCAUUUGUAAUGCACGACCUCAUGCAUGAUUUAGCAAUAUUGUAUGGUGGAAAGUUCUUUUCUAGAACCUUUGAACUCGAAAAUGCAGACAAGCAUGAUGAUAAUCCUCGUCAUUUUUCAUAUAAUCUUGGCAUCAAUAAUUCAUUCUCAAAGAUCUUGGAAGCAUGUGAUAGUUUAAAACAUGCAAGGACAUUGUUGGAAAUCAAUCUUAAUACAUGGCAUGAUUCCUCAAAGGAAAUUGGUUCUUGCAAUCCUUGUUGCUUACUUGCACAGUUGAAGCAUGUAAGGGUUUUGUCAUUUAAUUUUUUUCCUCUUCAGCAUGAUUCAGUGCUCAAUUCAAUAGGUGAUUUGAUUCAUUUGCGUUACUUGGAUAUCUCCGGUGCACCUAUCAUGACAUUGCCUGAAUCAAUGAGUAACUUGUAUAAUUUACAAACAUUGAAGUUGAGUAAAUGUAGAAGACUAGAAAAGCUUCCAACCAACAUGCAGGAUCUUGUAAAUUUGCGUCACUUGGAUCUCUCUGAUAUGCCUAUUGUGGUAUUGCCCGAAUCAUUGAGCAACUUGUAUCAUUUACAAACAUUGAAGUUGAGCAGAUGUAGAGGACUAAAGAAGCUUCCAGACAAGAUGCAAGAUCUUGUAAAUUUGCGCCAUCUCCAUAUUGAAGAUACUAAUUUAGAAGAGAUGCCAGAAGGGGUAAGCAAAUUAAAAAAAUUGCAAUUUUUAAGUAAUUAUAUGGUGGGAAAGCUUGAAGAGAAUGGAGUUGGGGAAUUGGGAGAAUUAGCACAUCUUCAUGGGUCAUUGUGUAUUGAGAGAUUAGAGAAUGUUAAUAAUAGUGGUGAAGCAUUGAAUGCAAGGAUGGAUGAAAAAAUACACCUGAAUGCUUUAUAUUUGACCUGGUCAUCAUUUCAAGAAAGUGAUAUUGUUGAUUCCCAAAUCGAAAAAGAUGUGCUUGACAAAUUACAUGCUCACAAAGAGUUGAAAGAGCUAAGAAUCAGUGGUUACAGGGGUGCGGUAUUUCCAGAUUGGAUAGGACACUCUUCAUACCACAACAUGGCUGAAUUGGAGCUGAAGGGAUGUAGGAAUUGUUUGGUGCUUCCUUCACUUGGACAGCUACCCUGUCUUAUGCAAUUGAGGCUUUCAGGAUUUGACAUGGUGAAGAUUAUUGGUGCUGAAUUCUAUAAGGCUGAUGGAACGGAUCAUCAUCAGGAGACACCCUUCCGAUCUCUCAAAUCUUUGUCAAUUUUUGAUAUGUCUUGCUGGGAGGAAUGGGUGUCAUUUGAAUGUGAUGAUGAUGCACCAUUUCCUCAACUUGAGCAACUUUCCAUAUGGGACUGUCCUAAAUUAAGAGGAGAUAUGCCAACUUCCCUUCCAUCUUUGAAAACACUUUAUAUUUCAGGAUGCAAGCAGCUUGGUUGUUAUCUCCCAAGAGCUCCCAUGCACCAAUUAAAAAUAUAUGGUACACAAGAAGCAAGAAUGCAGGACCUACCACUUUCGAUGUUGGAGCAACUAUCCGUUGAUGGAAAGCAGCAGGUGGAAUAUAUCUUUGAUGCCAUGACCCAUACCCAACCAACCUCUCUCACAAAGUUAUACAUAUCAAACUGCUCAUCAGCCAUAUCAUUUCCAGGGGAUUCUUUGCCCCCUUCAUUGCAAGAGCUUUACAUCACACGUUGCAAGAAUGUAGAAUUUCCAAUGCAGCACCUACAACAUCACUGGCUACAGAGAUUAGAAAUAGACAACAGCUGUGAUUCACUUACAUCCUUCGCAUUGUCAGCGUUCCCAAAUCUCAAGUAUCUCACAAUUGCAAGACAUGAAAAUUUGACAUCUUUGGAGGAGCUGUCACAGUCACAGUCCCUCCGACAAUUAUGGGUUGAAGAAUGUCCUAAGUUGGAGAUCAUAAGGUUGCCUGCCCCUUUAAGGGAACUUAGAAUCAAUAGAUGUCCGUUGUUGGGUGAAGGCAUAAAGAGGAAGGACCCCCACAUUUGGCCAGCCAUUUCCCACAUCCCCCACAUCCAAGUUGAUUGGAUUCGGAUUCACAAUGAUUCAACAUCUUAAAACAGGAAGCAUGUCAGCAUAAGGAGUUUGGUUGAUAUUCUCUGCAGUUGACAGUUAUAAUUUUGUGAAUAACUUUGUGAUUUUAGGACAAAAUGCUUUUUGAGCUGCCAUCACCACCCCCCUCUUGUUCUUUGCUUAUCCAUAUCCUCCGGUGCCAAUUCAAAGCUGAGUUUCAUGCUGCUUUCACCGGUCUUGCAUUGAGAAUUUGUGGACAUACAUAAAAUGGAAGAAAUAUAUUCUAGGAAUACAAAAUAUUCAUUUCAGUCACAGAAUGAUGUCUUGGGGUGCUUAAUUA